rnacentral:rRNA from 1 species
GAUGAACGCUGGCGGCGUGCUUAACACAUGCAAGUCGAACGAAGCACUUUAUUUGAUUUUCUUCGGAAAUGAAGAUUCUGUGACUGAGUGGCGGACGGGUGAGUAACGCGUGGGUAACCUGCCUCAUACAGGGGGAUAACAGUUGGAAACGACUGCUAAUACCGCAUAAGCCCACGGAACCGCAUGGUCCUGAGGAAAGGAUUUAUUCGCUUCAGGAUGGACUCGCGUCCAAUUAGCUAGUUGGUGAGGUAACGGCCCACCAAGGCGAGGAUGUGUAGCCGACCUGAGAGGGUNACCGGCCACAAUGGGACUGAGAUACGGCCCAGACUCCUACGGGAGGCAGCAGUGGGAAUAUUGGGCAAUGGACGCAAGUCUGACCCAGCAACGCCGCGUCGAAGGAAGAAGGCUUUCGGGUUGUAAACUUCUUUUAAGGGGGAACAGUAGAAGAGGUACCCCGUUGAAUAAGCCACGGCUAACUACGUG